rnacentral:rRNA from 1 species
UACAGGGGGUGCAAACGUUGCUCGGAAUCAUUGGGCGUAAAGCGCGUGUAGGCGGUCCGGUAAGUCCGCUGUGAAAGUCGGGGGCUCAACCCUCGGAUGCCGGUGGAUACUGUCGGGCUUGAGUACGGAAGAGGCGAGUGGAAUUCCUGGUGUAGCGGUGAAAUGCGCAGAUAUCAGGAGGAACACCAAUUGCGAAGGCAGCUCGCUGGGACGUUACUGACGCUGAGACGCGAAAGCGUGGGGAGCAAACAGG